AGGGGCGGCCGACCUUGGGAGAAAGUCUCAGACGAUCAACGAGACUUCUCAGCCUUUAGAUGAGCCUCAUGAUGUGGUUCCAACUCCUAGGCCAGGAGCUCCUAGUCGGGCGCGAUGUGAGCGCGUGGACUCGCUUCCUAGCUUUGGGUUUCCUCCCACCCGGGGCUAUAUGAGAUGGGGGUGCUUAAGUCGUUGGUGACCCCCGCUCGAUCCAGAGCGAUUGCAGGGCGCAGUGCAGAUGACAUAGAAAGGGCUACGGCUGUUUACCUUCAGAGGGUAUGUUUCUCAUUUCGAGAUUUCUUUCAUGUUGGAUCUCGCCUUUUAAGUUAGACUUUAACUCGUGGUUUCACUCUUUUUCCCCUUAUUUUUUUUUAGGUGGUGGCCCUCCAGACCGGACUCGCUGAGUCGAAUCGCCGCCUGGUCUCAGAGCUGAAAACUCUUACUAAAGAAAAGAAAAAGGAGGCUCAUCACCACAAGAAGAAAAUAUCCUCCUUAAGGAAAUCUCUGGAGAUGUCGGACGCUCGACCUCGUGAGCAAGAGAUGGAGAUCGACAACCUACGUUCUAUUUUGGCUCGUGCUCCUGAAGAGGCGGUUGAGAGGUAUAAGGCCUCAGAUGAGUACGCUGGAGAUCUCAAGGCGGCUGUGGAUCAGUAUAAGACAUCGUCCGAUUAUGCUAAGGCUUUGAACUCAUACGGGGGGAAGGCGAUGUCAGCAUCAAUUAAGCUCUCCAAGGAGUGGAUUAUGGCUGAACAUCCUUCUAUAGACCCCUCCGGCUUGGAUAGAUUUCUCGCACAGCGCAAGGGGAAGGAGAGCAUAGCUCAGUCAUCCAGAUCACUCGAUCGUUCAUCACAAGGUGGUAGUGGGCAUGUCUCCCCUUCGAGCUGAAGCAUUUCUUAAUUGUUGUUUUCCUUGCUAGUUUUUCCUUUUUAGUGUUUACUUUUGCUUAGCCUUGUUAUCUCCUACUUGCUCGGGAUGUGGGCAAGAAUUCUUCGAAUGUAUAAACACAUCUUUCAUUCGAUAUUAU
rnacentral:lncRNA from 1 species